rnacentral:rRNA from 1 species
GCGACGCCAGGACGGGCGAGGCCACCCGCCGAGUUUAAGCAUAUCAGUAAGC